UACGGGGGGGGCAAGCGUUGUUCGGAAUUACUGGGCGUAAAGGGUUCGUAGGUGGCUCGCUAAGUCAGACGUGAAAUCCCUCAGCUUAACCGGGGAACUGCGUCUGAUACUGGAUGGCUUGAGUUUGGGAGAGGGAUGCGGAAUUCCAGGUGUAGCGGUGAAAUGCGUAGAUAUCUGGAGGAACACCGGUGGCGAAGGCGGCAUCCUGGACCAACACUGACGCUGAGGAGCGAAAGCCAGGGGAGCAAACGGG
rnacentral:rRNA from 1 species